CCACCUGUCUACCCAAAAUAC
rnacentral:piRNA from 1 species